AUGGAAGUCACUUUCAAACAUGCAGAAAUGGAUCCCACCAAUGAAAUGCAAAACAGUGGAAGGUAUUAUCUCUUGACUUUGGCAAUGGAUGUGUUGGGGAAAGGGCUCAGGCAGUGCCAGGAGCAUCAAACGGUGAAGACUAGAACCCCACAGGUGGAGGAACUGGCAGCAUAUGGAGAGGUGUGCUUGGGCCAGGUGUGGCCAGACAUAUCAAGUCCUGCAGUUGCUGUGAUCCUGCAGAGAGCUCACUCUCCAAGGGCUCAGGCUGAGCUGUCCUCCAGGUCUGGGCUUAGUAGAGAACUUGAGAGUGUCCAGGACCCAAGCACCCUCUAUUUUGCUGCUCCACCAUCUUGAGGAUGCUACACUGCAUGGUCCGAGAAGGCUCAGCACCGUGUCUACAUUCUAGUCACUAAGAGAAGGGAAGGAAGGGAGGAAGGAUAUAUAUAUCCCAUUCCUGUAAGUAGUAUGUAUAACAUUGCUAGCAUCUCACUGACCAGAAGUAUCACCGCAUCUCAUGGCAAAGGAGGUUAGGAAAUGUGAAAUCUUUUAAAUCUACAUAUAGCCAUGUGUCUAAUUAAAAAUUAUAUUACUGUGGAAGAAGGGAGGUAUGGAUAUUAGGAGAUAACUUGAAGACUCUGCCACAGUCAGUACCUUUAGAACAAUUCUCUUGGGCUAGUGAAAUCCCACAGAAAAGAUUCUUCCUAAAUCUUGACUAGAAAAUUAUAAGCCUAGUUGUCAGAGUUCUAGGCAUUGAAUGAGACGAAAAAUUGGGAUGGGCUAGUGCUUGUAGUGGUGACUGGGUCUCAUGAUAUAAUGUGUAAAGUUUUAUUCACUCAUGCCACACAUUAUCUCAUCCAAAGACCAGCUCUCCAGAAGCAAUCUAGAUUUUGGCUCAGGGUUUGGAGGUUAGCUGACUGGGUUCUUGAACAGUAAAUUGUUUUUCUGCAUGAGUGAGAGGGCUGCAAAUCUAAUUUUCAACUAAUCUUUGUGUUUUCAGUCCCCUUUUCACUGCUAGUUCCAGAGAUAGUUGUCUCCAGCUUCUUAGUAUAAUAGAAAUUGGGCUGCUUCUCAGAUUUCCUCACUCUUAACUUAGGAUUAAGCUUUCUCAAGUCCCCUAAGUCAUUAACCACUUAUUCAUCUGCUCUAUAGCUUCUAAAAUUUUGUUUUUAUUGACUUCUCACCCAUGUUCUCUGUCUGAUAGGUUUAAACUUAAAAAAAUUGCUUACUUUUCUUAGUGGGAAGAAACAGAAAUAACUGGAGAGAGUCAACCCAUCAUCUUUAACCUAAAAUAUAAAUUGUUCUUUACAGCCAUUUAUUUUAAUACCUCACUACUUUUAUUCUCAGAACAUCUAUUAACAUUUCCCAUGGAAAAUAAAAGACUGAUGAGAUGAUGAUGGUGAUAUGAAGUGAUGAUGAUAGCCAACAUCUAUUGAAUUCUUACUGGUUUAUAGGCUAUGUCAUAGAUACUUCACCUUUUAUUGCCAAGACUGACAUGAAAACCAGUUUUGUAGACAUUACUGCCCUUAAACCAGACACGCAAGGUUCUUGCACCAGGCCCCAAGCUCAAGGGGCCUCUCCCUUUGGAAAUGUCUUCUUUGACAAUUUUUAAGACCUCUUUGGAGACUUGGAACCAACAAGCACUGGCAGUGCCACUCAGAUGCUUUACAAACUCUAAUUAGGAUCCAUAUGAGCCUUGGAUCCUGUUUCUCUCAUUUAGGGUACACUUGGACCUUCUAUCCAUGUGUGAAGUUGACCAGAUGCCCUGAGGAGCUCUGCAGCUUGCACCAGAAGAAUUAUUCCAGGGCCUAUUAGCCAGCCUGGUACCAGAAGGCUACCUUUGGGAACUGAUCCAGCUGUCUGGCACAUCAUUUUUUCACAGAAUUGUGUGGGAUUAGAUCAGAAGAAUGGGGUUGAUGUGCUGUGGUGACUUUCAUUAGGGACAGUCUUAAUGUACACUGAUUAUGCAAUAAACAAAAAGUAUAUUCCUCUUCUCUAUAAUUAUUAAAUCUUCAUUGAUCCAUCACUGUAACUUACACAGGCCUGUGAAGAUUCUUUUUUAUUUUUAGGGGCACAUCUGCAGCAUAUGGAAGUUCCUGGGCUGGGGGCCACAGCCAUAGCAACGCCAGAUCUGAACCUCAUCUGCAAACUACACCACACCUUGUGGCAAUGCUGGGUCUUUAACCCACUGGGUGAGGACAGGGAUAGACUAACCUGCAUCCUCACAGAGGCUUUGUUGUGUUCUUGACCUGCAGAGCCACACAGGAACUCCAAGAGUCUUCAUCUUGUGUACAACUGAGUAAGAGUCACCAUAAGCUGGCAUAUCAACUGCAAGUCUUACUCAGAGUACACAAGAAAAUGUGAGUGAUAACUCAUUUUAUUGGUAUAUUAAACUUACCAUUUGGAAUUUUACCACGUAAAAAUAUCUUUCAGCUGUGUCUCCUCUUGAACUCUGUAGGCCGCAAUUGCUUAAUUCCUAGGAUAUUUUCUACCUCAACAUAGACUGCCCCUCUGACUUCCACACUGCCACCAGUGAGGAAGAUAAGCAGGGGACUUGUGGGAUCUGCUGGAUUUCAGUUGGUUCUGAUCAAUGGGUAUCCUUGCAAUACCAGUAAUUAUAUGUCUGAACAUCAACUCUUAUUACUUCAUUUGUUUCCCUGCUCUUGUUGCAGUGAUAUAACUAAAAGUCAAAUAGACGAAGUGAUUUGCAGUAAAUGGCAGAAAAGGGGUGUUACCCUGGGGCUGUCUGACUACAAUUUGCCUGCCAGGCUGUACUCUACCACCUCUAAGAUCAAAAAACACUGAUGCAUUUUCCCCUUACAAGAGUUCAGUGCACGUUGUGGUACUCCCAUUCCAAUUAAAGUGGUUAUCUUGUUGUAUUAUAUUUGUAUUAUAAAUAUUCUGAUAAUUCUAUGUAGCUGCAAUCUCUAAAAAAGAGAAUUAAAUAGGUGCAUAUUCAAUGGCACAAGAUUCAGAGCAUGGUUAAAUUAAACAGUGCUUAGGCUUCUGAUUCACCCCAAAGUGGGUGCAAAUUCCAGAAAAUCACUUCAACUUCCCGAGGUAAUUUCCUCAUCUGUAAAAGGAAAUAUACUAUCUAUCUUAGGAAUUAAUAGUGAAGAUGAAUGCGACUACAUGGAUGAGUCAUAGUGACUGUACACAGUAGGCACUCAGUGAAUGUAUCUUGUCUUCCCCAAUUCCCAACAUACUCAUUUAAGGACAUGGAUGAUUCUGAUUUACAGACCUUUCUAGAGAAACCAACCUCUGACUCUCAACAUAUACCCUUGAGUGCUAUCAAGGAGAUAUAAAAUGAAAGAAUCAGGGACAUAAUAUAAUUGUGUCAUGCUUUCACAUCUUUUCUUACCUAGCUUUGCCAAAAGGUUUAAUUCCAUGACAGACUUGAUUUUAUAGAAAAUUUGUUGAGGAUAGCCUAUGGCUCAGACUCUGUUUUUCAAUGUUCAGAUCUGGAAACAAGCAGAGAAAAAAAAAACACAAAAAUUUGUUGAAGAUAAGCUUCAAAACUUUAAGGAAAGAAAAACAUUUUAAUACCUGGAAUUUUAGAGAUCUACCUUGGGAGCUAUUUUGAGCAUGAGGUCACUAUGAGAGCAAAAUGUAUUUUUAUGAUAAUUCAACUCUUGGUAAGUUUGCAAAGGCAAAGUUGGAGAGUUGUUUUGAGAUCCAAGUGCCCAGAUUUGCAGGCAGCAGCUGGCUAGUAUUAUUCUCACUUUUCUGAGCACAAUAGACACAUAGUAACAAGCUAAUUUGUGAAUACUAACCUUGGAAGAAGACCAAGCAGAGAGUCCGCUGCUCUUCACGGACAUCUGAAUUGCCCUCUUCCCUUUCCCACCAACCCUGUCCAUGUGCAGAAUGCACUCUACUAGUCACCAGGGCUGUGGGAGAAGCCUUUAUGCGUCUGUGCUCCAUUGUCUUUCCACAUCAAAUAUGAAGGUCAAUUCUUCAGGGAGCUCUCUGCUCCCCCAAGGCCUGGCCACAUGUGGAGAGGACAGAGUCACCACUCUGUGGAUCCUAUCUGGGAAAACACUCUUGAUCAAUGUUUCCUUUAUGAACAACACUAUUUUAAUGUUGGGUAAAAACUGGACAGAAACCUUGGCGGGGGUGGGGCUUAUAUUGGAGCUAAAUUACGUGUAUUCUUGGACCCUUUCCAUGGGAAAUUAACUGCACAUUUUUAUUUUUAAGAUAAAUUUUCCCAG
rnacentral:lncRNA from 9 species